rnacentral:rRNA from 1 species
AAUCAACGCUGGCGGCGUGCCUCAGACAUGCAAGUCGAACGAUUAAGACUCCCUUCGGGGAGUGUAUAAAGUGGCGUACGGGUGAGUAACACGUAAGUAAUCUACCUUCGAGUGGGGAAUAACAUCGGGAAACCGAUGCUAAUACCGCAUAAUGCAGCGGCAUCGAAAGAUGACAGUUGUUAAAGGAGCAAUUCGCUUGAAGAGGAGCUUGCGGCAGAUUAGCUAGUUGGUAAGGUAAUGGCUUACCAAGGCUACGAUCUGUAUCCGGUCUAAGAGGACGGUCGGACACACUGACACUGAAUAACGGGUCAGACUCCUACGGGAGGCAGCAGUCGGGAAUUUUGGGCAAUGGGCGAAAGCCUGACCCAGCAACGCCGCGUGAAGGAUGAAGUUUUUCGGAAUGUAAACUUCGAAAGAAUGGGAAGAAUAAAUGACGGUACCAUUUAUAAGGUCCGGCUAACUACGUGCCAGCAGCCGCGGUAAUACGUAGGGACCAAGCGUUGUUCGGAUUUACUGGGCGUAAAGGGCGCGUAGGCGGCAAUUCAAGUCAGCUGUGAAAUCUCCGGGCUUAACUCGGAACGGUCAGCUGAUACUGCUUUGCUAGAGUGCGGAAGGGGCAAUCGGAAUUCUCGGUGUAGCGGUGAAAUGCGUAGAUAUCGAGAGGAACACCUGAGGUGAAGACGGGUUGCUGGGCCGACACUGACGCUGAGGCGCGAAAGCCAGGGUAGCAAACGGGAUUAGAUACCCCGGUAGUCCUGGCCCUAAACGAUGAAUACUUGGUGUCUGGAGUCAUUAUUGCUCCGGGUGCCGUCGCUAACGU